UAUUUAAGGUCCCCAGGUCCUGCGGUGCGGGCGGGCGGUACUUUCCGUCAAGAAACAUCGGGGGCUCGGACGAGGUCCAUACUUUUGGUCCUGUCUUGGGG
rnacentral:sRNA from 1 species